rnacentral:lncRNA from 1 species
AAAUACCAGAAGAAAAUAAUGCAGCAUACAAAUAAUCUCAGCAUAUACCAACGCCACAGUUUUGGAAAAAUCAGUGACCACAAACAGUACAAUAUCAAGGCGAUUGAAAUGCAAACCGUUACCGUAACCGCAAUGUCGAACCAAUGUUGAAGCCCUGGAUAGAAGUUGAGUCGAUGAAAGGGGUGCAAGCGGCAACUUUCAAAACUACAGCU